rnacentral:rRNA from 1 species
UACGAAGGGGGCUAGCGUUGUUCGGAAUUACUGGGCGUAAAGGGCGCGUAGGCGGUGUGUCAAGUCAGGCGUGAAAGCCCCGGGCUUAACUUGGGAAUUGCGCUCGAAACUACUUUGCUGGAGUGUGGCAGAGGAAGGUGGAAUUCCACGUGUAGCGGUGAAAUGCGUAGAGAUGUGGAGGAACACCAAUGGCGAAGGCAGCCUUCUGGGCCAACACUGACGCUCAUGCACGAAAGCGUGGGGAGCAAACAGG